CCGAGGGGCCAUUGUUGGGGGAUAUGGCUGGAGAUAUACUCUGGGAAGGAGGUGCUCUGUGUCAACAAAAACAAGGGAAGAUGAGCCAAGCAAAAUGGGGAUGAAAGAUGUUUAAGGUAACCGUAUAACUGAAGAGUUGACAAAGCCAACCAAGACACUGCCUGGACCUAUGAUAAGGCACUAGAAAAUCCAGGGAUCAUCUGGAAUGCAAAAUUAAGGGAUCCAUUAGAAUGGAGGUAUCACGGCUGUCUUCUGGAUCACUGGAUUUUCAAUUCUGUUGACCACUGCAUGAAGGAAGAAAAAUCUGCAGCUAACAAGAACCCUGUGUUCUAUAAGUGAGCAUGACUGGCCACUCCUUUGAACCUCUGAUGACAGCUUGUUGAAAACUUUCUUUAAGGAGAAGAUACAGUGUCAACAUGUGAAAUUUAAUGACUAGUUUGGGGCUGUAGGAACACCUCCUGUGUCAGAGAAAAAGCCUGGAUGUUGUCUCCUCUUACUCUUUUUGUCACAGGAAAAAAACAUAAAGGCUGUGGGCAAGGAGGGAGCCAGGUGCACCUUCAGAUCUUCCAUACUGGAUGAGCUCUGCCCUGCAGCCAUGGCCACUGCACUUGUCUACCGAAGUGCCUGGUUCCUUCAGCUCUGCUGACAGCAGGGCAUGCUGACUCACUGCUCUCAGAGGGACUACCAGUCCUCAGAGAUCUCCUCUACAAACAGAGAUGCUAACAGAAUCAAAAGUUUUUCCUACACUGUAU
ensembl:lncRNA